AACGAACGCUGGCGGCGUGCUUAACACAUGCAAGUCGAACGUGAAAGGCUUCGGCCGAGUAAAGUGGCGCACGGGUGAGUAACGCGUGGGUAAUCUGCCCUUGGGCGGGGGAUAACCUCUCGAAAGGGGGCUAAUACCGCAUGAGACCACGGCUUCUCGGGGCUGUGGGAAAAGGUGGGUCGCAAGGCCUGCCACCUGAGGAUGAGCCCGCGUACCAUUAGGUUGUUGGUGGGGUAAUGGCCUACCAAGCCGAAGAUGGUUAGCUGGUCUGAGAGGACGAUCAGCCACACUGGGACUGAGACACGGCCCAGACUCCUACGGGAGGCAGCAGUGGGGAAUAUUGCGCAAUGGGGGAAACCCUGACGCAGCAACGCCGCGUGUGUGAAGAAGGCCUUCGGGUCGUAAAGCACUGUUGGGAGGAACGAGCCGCUCGUGGGGAAGUAUCUGCGAGCCCGACGGUACCUCCUGAGGAAGCACCGGCUAACUCCGUG
rnacentral:rRNA from 1 species